rnacentral:tRNA from 1 species
GUAGACGUUAGCUCAGUGGUUAUAGCACAGGCCUCUGGCUCUCGGGUCCGCGAGUUCGAGUCCCGUCGUCUACU